GGGUCAGUAGGUUGGUCGUGCCACCGGUACGUACUGGUCUCACUGAUUCCUCCUUCCUGAAGAACCGUAAUGCCAUUAAUUUGGUGUUGCUGGGAAACAGGACUGUUACUUUUAAAAAAUUAGAGUGUUUAAAGCAAGCUAACGCUUGAAUACAUUAGCAUGGAAUAAUGAAAUAGGACGAUCGAUCCUAUUUUGUUGGUUUCUAGGAUUGACGUA
rnacentral:rRNA from 1 species